AGUGAACGCUGGCGGUAGGCCUAACACAUGCAAGUCGAACGGCAGCACAGUAAGAGCUUGCUCUUACGGGUGGCGAGUGGCGGACGGGUGAGGAAUACAUCGGAAUCUACUUUUUCGUGGGGGAUAACGUAGGGAAACUUACGCUAAUACCGCAUACGACCUACGGGUGAAAGCAGGGGAUCUUCGGACCUUGCGCGAUUGAAUGAGCCGAUGUCGGAUUAGCUAGUUGGCGGGGUAAAGGCCCACCAAGGCGACGAUCCGUAGCUGGUCUGAGAGGAUGAUCAGCCACACUGGAACUGAGACACGGUCCAGACUCCUACGGGAGGCAGCAGUGGGGAAUAUUGGACAAUGGGCGCGAGCCUGAUCCAGCCAUACCGCGUGGGUGAAGAAGGCCUUCGGGUUGUAAAGCCCUUUUGUUGGGAAAGAAAAGCAGCAGGCUAAUACCCCGCUGUUCUGACGGUACCCAAAGAAUAAGCACCGGCUAACUUCGUG
rnacentral:rRNA from 1 species